GCAAAGGGUGUUUAGAUAGCUGCAGGUAGUUUGGUGCAGCUGAAACAGAUUUCAAUUAGGGUUCGGCUGCAGAUGGAAGCAGGGGGGCCUUGGAGUUUGCAUUUGGUUCUUUGGGAGUACGAAGCUAUUGUAAGGCCUUUGGCUGGAAGUAACAUGAUUCAGCAGUAUCCCUCAGGAAUGAGACAGGGACAAAGCUGGGGGGACUAGUGAGGAGAUGAACUAGAAUAAUGCAGAUUAAACUUGAUGAGAGUUGUAUUGAAGGAAUAUCCAGAGGAGAAGACUUUGAGAGAGAGAAUGCAGGCAGAACAAUAAGCCUAGAUGGAUACUCGGAUGUGAAGAGGGAAAGCACUUGAGCAUGACUCCCAGCUCAGUUAUGAUGUCAUUAAAUUUAUGACACUGGAAAUUUAGGGGAGAGUGGGCAGAUGGGAAAGGCAGAGAGCAGAGCAUAGUGAAGGCAGCUAAAUUCAAUUGGGGCAUGUUGAGAUUGAGUUCUCUGUGGUCAUUCAGACAGAACUGUCCACUAAGAAGAAAUGGAAUCUAUGGUUCUGCAGGUCAGAAUGGUCUGUACCAGAGAUGAAGUCAUCGGUCUACAGAUGAAUUGAGUGAAAGCAAUCACCCAGAGCCAGGCAAGGUGUCAGAGCUCCAACAUCAAAAGGUGGUUGACUGGUGGGUUGGUAAGAAGAAUUUACCACUGACCGUAUAGGACUGGAAAAGGAAAGGUUUAUUAGGUAGAAAGAACGCUGUCGAAGAGUGCAGCUGCAGCGGAGCACCUCAGCAAGAGAGGACUGAGUGCAACACAGUGGAUCCUUCCUCAGGGGUAUUUAUGGACCUUAAAGCCGGAGCUGAAGAUGAUCUGUGGAAGGGAGAGAGCAGCAUGCUGGAGGGGAUGAUUUGGCAAGUCCGCUGAAGAACACAAGCCUCGACUGCUCCCCGGCGUGGAAGAAGGAAGGCGAUAAAUACUGUAACGGAGGACGAGGAAGGAGCACUGAGUUCUAUGUGGAAAGAAAGGGUCAAAAAGAGGAAAACGCCUAUUCACAUGCAUGGCGUUUAACAGAUUUAUUAGGUUGUUUGCUGUGUGAUGUAAAUCUCCUCCUCUCUCUCCUUGAAAUUUCUUGAGUGAAUUCUACAUUGUUCAUUCAUUCAUGUUUAUGUGCCAGCAAGCUUUGGGAGCACUGUAAAAAUAAAAAAGGUUAGACCACUGUUAGACAUCUGGGAAACAUCUAUGUUAGAGAAGGACUAUAUAUUAAUUUAUCUCAUUUAUGGGAGGCAAAUACUAUGAUUAUUGAAGGUACAUCUCUUUCUUUAUGGAUGGAGUACAUCUUAUUUUUCUAAAAUUUGUAUUUGAACCUAUUUAUUUCUAAUUGUCAAAAAUGUGAAGUGAGAAACUUAAAAACUUUUUAGUUUCUCUUGUCCCACCAUUUUAUGUACUUCCAGGUUGUCAAAUAAUUUGGAAUUUUAGACUUAGAUAAUUCUCUAAUGUAUAUUAUAGAUCUUCUAUUUCAAUAAUUAGCUUAUAUUUUAAUUAAAUUGUAUAACUGCAUUAAAAUAUACUUAACUAUGUUUUUCUAGUUUUAUUAUUUGGUUUUUCAUUUAGGAAAUAUUUAUGUUUGUGUGUAUAUAUAGUUGCCCUUCUAGAAUUCUUUAGUUUGAUUGCAUCUCUAUAGACUAGAUAAUGGUAUCUGUCUUACUUAUUUAUUUAUUUUUAAGACAGUCUCAUUCUGUCACCCAGGCUGGAGUGCAGUGGCGCAAUCUCAGCUCACUAUGACCUCCACUUCCUGGGUUCAAGUGAUUCUCCUGCCUCAGCCUCUUGAGUAGCUGGGACUACAGGCAUGCACCAGCAUGCCCAGCUAAUUUUUGCAUUUUUAGUAGAGAUGGGUUUUCACCAUGUUGGUUGGCCAGGCUUGUCUGGAACUCCUGACCUCAGGGGAUCCUUCUGCCUCGGCCUCCCAAAGUGCUGGAAUUACAGGUGUGAGCCACCACGCCUGGCCAGUAUAUGUCUUUGGGUAAAAUUUUUUCAGAAAGAGUGAAUAAACCAUGAUAACUGAUCUUUACUUAGCACUUCCCAUGUGCCAGUCAUUAUUCUUUAUCUGUAUUAACUCAUUUAAUCUAGACAACAACCCCAUGAGUAAGUUACCACUACCCAGUAGUGGCUCUUGGGAUGGGUGGAAGGAAGGAUGACGAGGUAUAUGGAGAUCAAUCAGGAAGCGAUUACAAGAAACCUGGUGAGGGACAAGGGAGGCCUCAGUGAGAAAGAGACAGAUGUGAGAAAUGUCUGACAUCACCCAGAGAGUGAGCACAGGAUCCAAUAGGUAGUUUUUCAGCCCUUGCCCCUCCCUUCCCCUCUCACCCCUCUAGUUAGGAGUCACCAGUUCCUAUUGUUGCCAUCUUUUUGUCCACAAUUACCCAAUGUCUGGCUCCCACUUAUAAGUGAGAACUAACCCUUAACAUCCUCCACUUAUUGCAGUUAGAAAUCUCAUUGUGACGUCCACAAAGCAAGUGAAUAUUUGAAUAUUGGCUCAAUCAUUAACUAAUUUUGUGACCUUAGAAAAGUUACUUAGCCUUUCUGAGCCUCAUAAUCUUCAUCUGCAAAUGGAAAAAUAAUAAUUCCUGCCUCUCGUUGUUACUAUGAACACUGUAAUAUUGAAUAUAAUUAAAUACUCUUCCUCAUCCUUCUUAUAAUUGCUUGUGUUUGGGUAAGCUUGUCUACUAGACACAAGUUCCUCGAAGGCAGAAGUACUCUUCAGUGAAUCUUUACAAUACUCCAAGCACAUAAUACUCAA
rnacentral:lncRNA from 1 species